GAGGAAGCCAUGGCCGACCGCUCGACGCUCGGUUUCGCCCACUGACUUCUCUACAUAUACCGAAUAGAACCCCUGGCCCAAAACUACGACUACGCAACAGAAAAGGGUAAAAACUGAUUUUUGAGUAAGAGGCUAUAACGGCCGAGGCCAAGGGAUUAUUUGUACAGUAUAAGGUGGUGGUGGUGGUGGUGGUGGCGGCGGCGGUGGGGACGGCGGUGGUGGUGGAGGCAGCGCCUCACCUCUCAGGGAAUUGAGAGAGAACGAGAGGAGGUAGGGCGAGAUGGCCGUAUUUAUAUCGUGGCGGAGCGUUUUGAGUGUGGAAGAGAGGGGAUAGGGAUGACCGGGGGGAGCCGGUUGCGGUGACCGGUGAUGAGCCGUUGGGGGGUGGGAUGCUUCCAGGCAGGGGAGGGGGCAGUUACUUAGCGGUACAGCUGUCGUCGGG
rnacentral:lncRNA from 1 species